GGGAAACGCCCGGUCCCAUCUCGAACCCGGAAGCUAAGACCCACAGCGCUGAUGGUACUGCACUCGGGAGGGUGUGGGAGAGUAAGUCACCGCCGAAA
rnacentral:rRNA from 1 species